rnacentral:rRNA from 1 species
AAGCCGAGCGGUAUGAUUCUUUCGGGAAUCAGAGAGCGGCGUACGGGUGCGGAACACGUGUGCAACCUGCCUUUAUCUGGGGGAUAGCCUUUCGAAAGGAAGAUUAAUACCCCAUAAUAUAUUGAGUGGCAUCACUUAAUAUUGAAAACUCCGGUGGAUAGAGAUGGGCACGCGCAAGAUUAGAUAGUUGGUGGGGUAACGGCCUACCAAGUCGAUGAUCUUUAGGGGGCCUGAGAGGGUGAUCCCCCACACUGGUACUGAGACACGGACCAGACUCCUACGGGAGGCAGCAGUGAGGAAUAUUGGACAAUGGGUGCAAGCCUGAUCCAGCCAUCCCGCGUGAAGGACGACGGCCCUAUGGGUUGUAAACUUCUUUUGUACAGGGAUAAACCUAGAUACGUGUAUCUAGCUGAAGGUACUGUACGAAUAAGCACCGGCUAACUCCGUGCCAGCAGCCGCGGUAAUACGGAGGGUGCAAGCGUUAUCCGGAUUUAUUGGGUUUAAAGGGUCCGUAGGCGGAUCAGUAAGUCAGUGGUGAAAUCUCAUAGCUUAACUAUGAAACUGCCAUUGAUACUGCUGGUCUUGAGUAAGGUAGAAGUAGCUGGAAUAAGUAGUGUAGCGGUGAAAUGCAUAGAUAUUACUUAGAACACCAAUUGCGAAGGCAGGUUACUAUGUCUUAACUGACGCUGAUGGACGAAAGCGUGGGGAGCGAACAGGAUUAGAUACCCUGGUAGUCCACGCUGUAAACGAUGCUAACUCGUUUUUGGGUUUUCGGAUUCAGAGACUAAGCGAAAGUGAUAAGUUAGCCACCUGGGGAGUACGAACGCAAGUUUGAAACUCAAAGGAAUUGACGGGGGCCCGCACAAGCGGUGGAUUAUGUGGUUUAAUUCGAUGAUACGCGAGGAACCUUACCAAGGCUUAAAUGGGAAUUGAUCGGUUUAGAAAUAGACCUUCCUUCGGGCAAUUUUCAAGGUGCUGCAUGGUUGUCGUCAGCUCGUGCCGUGAGGUGUUAGGUUAAGUCCUGCAACGAGCGCAACCCCUGUCACUAGUUGCCAUCAUUAAGUUGGGGACUCUAGUGAGACUGCCUACGCAAGUAGAGAGGAAGGUGGGGAUGACGUCAAAUCAUCACGGCCCUUACGCCUUGGGCCACACACGUAAUACAAUGGCCGGUACAGAGGGCAGCUACACAGCGAUGUGAUGCAAAUCUCGAAAGCCGGUCUCAGUUCGGAUUGGAGUCUGCAACUCGACUCUAUGAAGCUGGAAUCGCUAGUAAUCGCGCAUCAGCCAUGGCGCGGUGAAUACGUUCCCGGGCCUUGUACACACCGCCCGUCAAGCCAUGGAAGUCUGGGGUACCUGAAGUCGGU